AAGGCUCAGUAUAACAGCUAUUAUUUAUUUGAUCGUAAACAUAGUUACUUGGAUAACUGUGGUAAUUCCAGAGCUAAUACAUGCAAACAACAUGGAUCCCUGUAGCAAUAUGGGUGAAACAUGUGCUUUUAUUAGAUUAAAACCAUAUCCAUCUCUGAUGGAUUACUUUUAGAUGAAUCUGGAUAAUUAUGGCUGAUCGUAUGGUCUUGCACCGACGAUAGAUCAUUCAAAUGUCUGCCCUAUCAACUAUUGAUGGUAGUAUAGAGGACUACCAUGGUUGCAACGGGUAACGGGGAAUCAGGGUUCGA
rnacentral:rRNA from 1 species